GCGGAGGGGCGGGAGGCGGAGCCAGGAACCAGCAGGACUCCCCUGGGCGCCUCCAGCAGCCGCCGACCCCGAGGGCCCGACGAGCCCUGUAGGUGGUGUGGUGACCGCCGAGCUGACUUGGCGUCCCAAAGCCUCCCUGGCCGUGACCCUAGACCGCAUCGGCUUCUUCGUCUACCAAGCAGGGCUAACAGCCCUCACGGAAUUGUUUUGGGAAAACGAUGAAAGGAGAAAAUGGAUGCAAGCUUUAAGCCACACAAAAGCUGGUUACCAUGGACAGCGCUGGCUCGAGUCUGUCGGCCACGGAAACACUGCAUGCUUGGGCCAGUAAUGAUUUAGGACGAGUAUUUUAUUAGAUUUGGUACUUUACAAGAUUCAAGUUCUUAAACUCAAGAUCUGGCAUCGUUCCCUUCCCUGCUAACCUUCAGUCCCGAAUUAAACGCAGACGUCUUGACCCGCAGCCCAGCUGCUCUCCAGCCUCGCUGCUCCCUCCGCUCACAGCUCCGCAUCCUCUGCCUUCCUCACAGGCUUCCGUCCGCACCCCCGUCCUACCGGCUGACACUGUCCAACUCUCCAAGACCCAUCUCAAAUCCUACCUCCCGCAAACCCUUCCUAAAUUUCCUCACCUAGGCCUGCUACAGCGUUCUUAUUUUCCACAUUUCUUUUCUGGCUCUCGGACUACUCAGCUGCCAAAGCGCAUCCAUUGCUGUACUCCCUCUCUGCCUGGCCUACUUCAGUGGAAAAGCAUGAGGACGGGCUGCGCUCUGCUCCUCACACAAUCCCCAGCCCAGAGCACCCUGCUUAUUUAUUGAACAUAACAGUGCAGGCCGGCCUAGGCUUCCCAUAGGCAAGGAUGACUUUCAGAAUGUUCUAGAAAAAAGGAUACUUCAGGGGGCCCAUAACUGCUUGAUUCAAAUCUUUCCUUUAAAAACAUAAAAACAACAGUUGGACUUCUAAAACACACACUGAAGACAUACGCGCUGCCACGUAAGCUCUCCACAUGUUCACUUUGCCUUCAGGGAAACUGUGUGCACAUCAACGUGCCCUGGGAAAGGCUGCAGGGCUGCACUGCGGGCAGUUCAGAUCCUAGAGCACUUGCUCUGGCCUGGGAGCGCUGCAGGCAACUGAAGCCACACAGACCCUGCUCCUGCAAGAACUUUUGUGUGUGUCCCAUGGUGAUGUCAUUAGUUUGCUUAUUAAUUAUAUUUAUAUAAACUUCUGGUCCUGUUUUAAAUGUCUGAGAUUGCAAGGUCAACUGUUAUAAACCUGUCAUCACUUCCAUCUAUGUAUCCAAGACUAGGAGAAUUCUCCAAAUCAACUGAAACAUAAAAAUAGAUGUUAAAGUUGAUUUUAACCCAAAUUUUGUAUUGAUCAAAACAGCUUCAUUGUUCUUUAUAACAAAGAAUUGUUAUAAACUUGAAUUUAUGUAACAAAACAAAAUAACCAAUUUUAUAUUCGCUUUACAUAUUGGGGUUCCACAAAAAAAUUUUAAUUUGGGGGGAAAAAAGCUGUAUUUCAAAACAUUAAAAAAAAAAACCACCAUCAUGGAAAUCUUAGGAUGAAAUGGCCU
rnacentral:lncRNA from 1 species